GACGAACGCUGGCGGCGUGCUUAACACAUGCAAGUCGAACGGUGAAGCGCCUUCCUUUUUGGUGGGUGUGGAUGAGUGGCGAACGGGUGAGUAACACGUGAGUAACCUGCCCCCUUCUUCUGGAUAACCGCAUGAAAGUGUGGCUAAUACGGGAUAUUCUGGGUCUGUCGCAUGAUGGGUCUGGGAAAGAUAUUGUUUCGGUGGGGGAUGGGCUCGCGGCCUAUCAGCUUGUUGGUGGGGUGAUGGCCUACCAAGGCGGUGACGGGUAGCCGGCCUGAGAGGGUGGACGGUCACACUGGGACUGAGACACGGCCCAGACUCCUACGGGAGGCAGCAGUGGGGAAUAGUGCACAAUGGGCGCAAGCCUGAUGCAGCGACGCCGCGUGAGGGAUGGAGGCCUUCGGGUUGUGAACCUCUUUCGCCAGUGAAGCAGGCCUGCCACGUUUGUGGGUGGGUUGACGGUAGCUGGAUAAGAAGCGCCGGCUAACUACGUG
rnacentral:rRNA from 1 species